GCCAGGCACGGUGGCACAUGCCUGUAAUCCCAGGGGCUCGGGAGGCUGAGACAGGAGGAUUGAGUUCACAGCCAACCUCAGCAAAAGUGAGGUACUAAGCAACUCAGUGAGACCCUGUCUCUA
rnacentral:sRNA from 1 species